AAUACAGAUUCAAUUCUAUUGGAGUAAAACAGCAUGACCACGCCCACUAAUGUUGGUUACAUUUAGAUUUUGCCGCCAUUGUCCAUUUGUAAGUGUCUCGUGAAUGGAAAGAGUGGACAGAUCGAGAGCGUGGAUCCGCCGAACAUCAGUAGUCAUUCACCGAACCACAGAAUUUCUUCAUUUCUGAACUCAAUCAGAAAUCCAGUUGCCAAGAAAUUUGACAUUCCAACCUUGGACUUAAAAGUCUAUGAUGAAUCGAAGACUGAAGUUGAUGAGGAGUUUGAGUUUCUUCUUAAGAAACAAGACCUUGGUGUGCUGGAGAUUUGUUUACCCCAAGACCCAAAUCCCGAUGAUUCGUUGAGCUCCUCUGCAAGCAGCUCCUUCUCAAAAUACAGUGGAGACAAUGAGGGGGACUCCAGUGACACCAUUAUAUUGCAGCAGAGUCMUGCUACAAGAAAGACAGCUGAGGAUAAUCGUCUAUCUCAUAUGAUUGAAGACAUUCUGAACAACAAACCUGGAGGAGAGAGGAUCAUGCUUGAGUAUGCUCGGUCAAAAAGCCUAACAUAUAGCAGAAGACGCGAUAUGGUCAAGAUAUUGGUUGCACAAAUGACAAGUGAACAUGGAUAUAUGUCAAAUACUCAUUACAUUCCUUACCACCUACACAAUUUUUUAGCAGAAGUUGUGAUUUACACCUCAAUACUUUUGUUUGGAUCUCAAACAGUAGAGUGUGUGUGUCUAGGAAAAGUCCUUAAAAGCGUGUUAAAGAGGACUACGCAAAGGGCAUCAUUGCCUUGUUCCCAUACCUGGCCGAACCUAGGAGCAAGUUUGGUUAUGUGGUCCAAAAGCUGAUAGACUCCUUCAGAGAGGAAAACUGUCCAACAACAGACAGCCUGUGUUGUGAUGCCAAUGCACGAAUGAAGCAUACAGCUGAUGAAGCAAUUGUAAAGGAGAAGAUGAAGCAGACGUUCACCUAUCGCCAAAAGAUGGUUCAUGACCCAGUGAAGUCCUCUGAAAUAUUCACAGCGUUUCCAAGACAUAGCAGCAAUGACUUAUUCCAUCGUGUCUGGUGUUUGGUGAUGCAACCUCUGCAGAGUUCCUGGAGAAGUGGCCUACUCUCUACAAGCAGAAAGUCAUUGACCAAAGCCGUGGCCUCACACAGAUAGGCGACCUGCAAGACCUGGUUCAAAAUGCUGAAUCCACAACAGAAGUGGGAAAUGGAUGGGACAGUGACAUGUCCUACAUUUUGGUCCUUGUCCACCUUCUGCCACCGCCACCUCAUGGCUGCAAGAGCCCAGGAAAAAUCUCAGCCAGACACGCCAAGACUGGGACCAGCAUCCAGGGGCAUCUGGAGAGCGUCAUGGAAAGCCUUCAACCCUAUCUGCUUGCUGUGGGGACCCAGAGGAGUGUGAUUCAUAAGUACUCCAUUGUGAUUGACAAACAUGCAAUACCUUGUAAGUCACCAGACUCUCUUCCCUGUUUUGAUGAGCUUUUCAAAGCUCAUUUUGUCUUUGGUACCUUGUGCAACCAGGAUCUGGUAAAUGUCUACAACUUCUUGCAAACCACAAUUUAUGAAAUUGAUGUUGAUACCACUAAGGGUAAUCCUAGGGUUGCAGAGUUGACGGCUCAGAUACUGCAUUGAGUUACUAAAAGUUUUGAAGUUGCAAAGGGAUUAAAACGCAGCAUAGGAAAUAACCUUUUUCCUUUCACACAAACUUUUUCAUAUCAUUCAUCUAAAAUGUUGUGUUUUGCUUGCAAAAGCCUGCAGGCAAAUGCUAAUUCCUUGACAAAACACUUGAAGUUGGUCCACGGACUUUGUCCAGGAAAGACACUUGGUCUUAAAUGCUGUCAGGCUGGUUGUUCGCAAGUUUAUGGCACUUUUUCUGGGUUCAGAAAGCAUCUUUAUAAAGCACAUGAACCUUGUUCUGAUCAYGGUGAAGCCCCCUCUUCAGCUGAAUGUGUAGCAGUAAUUCAUUUUGAUGACCUGCCAUCAACAAAUUCCCCUUCUGACUCAGUCCUUGUCAAUAAGAGUCUUGUAGACAGCUGCGCUGCAACCAUAGCUGAACUUAGUGGCAGGUGUAGGUGAAACGACCAUUAACUCUUUGGUUAUUUCCAUGGAAGAGAUAGUUGAUGAUAUUCAAGCUAAAGAAGCUGUGAAGAAGUGUCUGUCUAUACAGGAGUGUAUUAAAAGUCAAAUUGAUCAGUGCUUUGAAAAAAAUGAAAAUCCUUGUGGUGUAUUAAAUUCUGAAAGUAAGAGAAAACAGUAUUUUACAGAAAAGUGGGGAAGGGUAGACCCAGUUGAAUGCGUUCUUGGUUUUAUCAAAAUACUUAACACAAUUUACAAAACCACACACCCAAACUGCAAAAUACCUCAUAUAUCCUGCAAAAUGAACCACUGCAACCAAAACUACAGCAUUAUCAAAAUCAAACGUUUGCACGAAAUGGCACACACUUCAUUCAUAUUACCAGAUUUUUGUCUAACCAACUACACUGUUGGGCAUAAUGAAAAGCACUCUCAUCUUUAGUAUGCUUUGCCAUAAUACUAAAAUAGUUCAAAUUGUAGAAAAUUCUUAGUUUUUUUCAAUUGUUUAAGCACAAUUUUGAAAACGGCCUGGUUUGUCAAAACACUACACACAAUUAGCACAACCCUACACCAAAGUAGCACAACACUUCAGAUAAUUUGCAAAAUGGAACACUUUUGUCAAAACUAUACACGACUUUAUAAAAAAUACUAUUUUGUUACCAUACGAAACACACACAUUUCAUAUGACUUCAAUCUUUUUGAACCAGUUACACACUGCUGUUGCUAACCUAAAACACUUUUAGCAAGUCUAAUUGUCAGUGAUUAGAGUACUGUAAAUGAAGUACACAGAGAAAGUGCAACUAUACAAACACUACACAAGACCAAUGCUGCAGACUGAGGAAAAUAUCAUUUAUUUCUCUCCAUAUACCCAAAUCAGUCAACAUGGAGAAUCACAACAAAACAUGUCCCAGUUUUCAUGCUACUACGGUAGUGUGCAUAACACUGUUAGCUCAGCAAACAACGGACAAACGUAAAAUACUGUAUCCCGUACAGGUUACAAUUACAGUAAAUAACAACAACAAACAUAAAAAAUAAUCUGAAAAAAAAACGGACAAUAUUGUACAGAAAAUACUACAG